rnacentral:rRNA from 1 species
UACGUAGGGGGCAAGCGUUGUCCGGAAUCAUUGGGCGUAAAGAGCUCGUAGGCGGUGUGUCGCGUCGGCCGUGAAAACCUGCAGCUUAACUGUGGGCUUGCGGUCGAUACGGGCAUCACUGGAGUUCGGCAGGGGAGACUGGAAUUCCUGGUGUAGCGGUGAAAUGCGCAGAUAUCAGGAGGAACACUGGUGGCGAAGGCGGGUCUCUGGGCCGAUACUGACGCUGAGGAGCGAAAGCGUGGGGAGCGAACAGG